GUAACGGUGUCUUUAGACACCACCCUUUCUUAUAUUCAAAAUAUUAU
rfam:Picea glauca, whole genome shotgun sequence.